rnacentral:rRNA from 1 species
UACGUAGGGUGCAAGCGUUAAUCGGAAUUACUGGGCGUAAAGCGUGCGCAGGCGGUGAUGUAAGACAGAUGUGAAAUCCCCGGGCUCAACCUGGGAACUGCAUUUGUGACUGCAUCGCUGGAGUACGGCAGAGGGGGAUGGAAUUCCGCGUGUAGCAGUGAAAUGCGUAGAUAUGCGGAGGAACACCGAUGGCGAAGGCAAUCCCCGUGGCCUGUACUGACGCUCAGUGCACGAAAGCGUGGGGAGCAAACAGG